GAUGAACGCUAGCGGCAGGCUUAAUACAUGCAAGUCGAGGGGUAACACGGGUAGCAAUAUCUGGUGACGACCGGCAAACGGGUGCGGAACACGUACAGAACCUUCCUUUAAGCGGGGGAUAGCCCAUAGAAAUGUGGAUUAAUACCCCACUAGUAAUAUUGUCUGGCAUCAGAUGGUAUUUAAAGAUUUAUCACUUAAAGAUGGCUGUGCGGCUGAUUAGGUAGUUGGUGUGGGAACGGCCCACCAAGCCAGCGAUCAGUAACUGGUGUGAGAGCACGACCAGUCACACGGGCACUGAGACACGGGCCCGACUCCUACGGGAGGCAGCAGUAAGGAAUAUUGGUCAAUGGACGCAAGUCUGAACCAGCC
rnacentral:rRNA from 1 species